GGAUGUGAGGGCGAUCUGGCUGCGACAUCUGUCACCCCAUUGAUUGCCAGGGUUGAUUCGGCUGAUGUGGCUGGCUAGGCAGGUGUCCCCUUCCUCCCUCACUGCUCCAUGUGCAUCCUUCCCAAAGCUGGGCACUCAGUGGAAGAGGACGACCAUGCCCGGGAGAGGAGGACCGUUCUUUGGUCAAGGGUACACGACGCUACGCUGCUGGAACCUCCCAACAAGCUCUCAAGGUCCAUUUGAUCACUCUGUGAGGGCAACGAGGUUAUGACAAAUGGGAACUCAGUGUUGUUUCCUCUU
rnacentral:snRNA from 2 species